rnacentral:rRNA from 1 species
AACGAACGCUGGCGGCAGGCCUAACACAUGCAAGUCGAACGGUUGUAGCAAUACAGCAGUGGCGCACGGGUGAGUAACGCGUGGGAACAUACCUUAGAGUUCGGAAUAACCUCGGGAAACUGAGGCUAAUACCGGAUAUUCUCUCCGGAGGAAAGAUUUACCGCUCUAAGAUUGGCCCGCGUCAGAUUAGCUAGUUGAUGAGGUAAUGGCUCACCUAGGCUCCGAUCUGUAGCUGGUCUGAGAGGACGACCAGCCACACUGGAACUGAGACACGGUCCAGACUCCUACGGGAGGCAGCAGUGGGGAAUAUUGGACAAUGGGCGAAAGCCUGAUCCAGCCAUGCCGCGUGAAUGAUAAAGGCCUUAGGGUUGUAAAGUUCUUUUGCCAGGGAAGAUAAUGACGGUACCUGGAGAAUAAGCACCGGCUAACUUCGUGCCAGCAGCCGCGGUAA